rnacentral:rRNA from 1 species
GACAGCGGGUGCAAACGUUGUUCGGAAUUACUGGGCGUAAAGCGCGUGUAGGCGGUUUGGUAAGUCGGAUGUGAAAGCCCCGGGCUCAACCCGGGAAGUGCACUCGAUACUGCCAAGCUAGAGUAUCGGAGAGGUUGGUGGAAUUCUCGGUGUAGAGGUGAAAUUCGUAGAUAUCGAGAGGAACACCGGUGGCGAAGGCGGCCAACUGGACGAAUACUGACGCUGAGACCCGAAAGCGUGGGGAGCAAACAGG